UACAGAGACUGCAAGCGUUAUUCGGAUUCACUGGGCGUAAAGGGCGCGCAGGCGGCCAAGUGUGUGAGGCGUGAAAGCCUGGGGCUUAACCCCAGAAUUGCACCUCAAACUAUUUGGCUAGAGCAUUGGAGAGGGUAGCAGAAUUCAUGGUGUAGCAGUGAAAUGCGUAGAUAUCAUGAGGAAUACCAGAGGCGAAGGCGGCUACCUGGACAAUUGCUGACGCUCAGGCACGAAAGCGUGGGGAGCAAAAGGG
rnacentral:rRNA from 1 species